rnacentral:rRNA from 1 species
UAAUACGAAGGGGGCUAGCGUUGCUCGGAAUGACUGGGCGUAAAGGGCGCGUAGGCGGUUUGGUUAGUUAGGCGUGAAAUUCCUGGGCUCAACCUGGGGACUGCGCUUAAUACAGCCAGGCUAGAGUGUGGAAGAGGGUCGUGGAAUUCCCAGUGUAGAGGUGAAAUUCGUAGAUAUUGGGAAGAACACCGGUGGCGAAGGCGGCGACCUGGUCCAUUACUGACGCUGAGGCGCGAAAGCGUGGGGAGCAAACAGGAUUAGAUACCCUGGUAGUCCACGCCGUAAACGAUGUGUGCUGGAUGUUGGGUGACCUAGUCACUCAGUGUCGUAGCUAACGCGAUAAGCACACCGCCUGGGGAGUACGGCCGCAAGGUUGAAACUUAAAGGAAUUGACGG